rnacentral:tRNA from 1 species
GCCCCAGUGGCACAACAGUUAAGCACUCGGCUGCUAACUGAAAGUUUGGUGGUUCGAGCCCACUCAGUGGCU